UGGGGAAUCUUGCCCAAUGGGCGAAAGCCUGAGGCAGCAACGCCGCGUGUGGGAUGACGGCCCUCGGGUUGUAAACCACUUUCAGCAGGGACGAAAUUGACGGUACCUGCAGAAGAAGCCCCGGCCAACUACGUGCCAGCAGCCGCGGUAAUACGUAGGGAGCGAGCGUUGUCCGGAUUUAUUGGGCGUAAAGCGCGCGUAGGCGGUUUGAUAAGCCGGGUGUGUAACCUCCAAGCUCAACUUGGAGCGGCCACUCGGAACUGUCAUGACUUGAGUCAGGUAGGGGAACACGGAAUUCCAGGUGUAGCGGUGAAAUGCUUAGAUAUCUGGAGGAACACCAGUGGCGAAGGCGGUGUUCUGGGCCUGUACUGACGCUGAUGCGCGAAAGCGUGGGGAGCGAAC
rnacentral:rRNA from 1 species